CGUCGCUCCCCGCCGGCUGCCGUUAGGGCUGGGAGCCGGCUGGGCGCGGGGGUAGUGAGGGUGCCUCUCGCCGUGGCUGCGCGGCGGCCUCGUCCGAGAGGCCGGCGCCGGGGCAGUGACCGGCCCGUGCCCAGCCGCCGCGCAGGGCGCCCGGGGCAGCUGGCCGAGCCCUCGAUGCCUCCCGUCUGACGGAGGCGCCCGGGAAGCGCCGCCCACCUCGGCCCCGCACCCUCGCCGGCCUGCCGGGUCUCCGCCAGCCCUAGCAGACAGAGAGGGGCGCCGGUCCCUAGUCCCCCAGACCUCCAUUCAAGGUCAAAACUUUGCCCAGCUCAGCCUUGCUCGACCCUGGGCAGGGAAGCGCGGACAUCGGCAGAGGGAGCCCGAGGCUCUCCGUGCCCUUCGCGCCGCUCCCCAAGGAUGGAUAACACUAACAUAUAGUCAGUGGGAAAGAAAUCUCAGAAAAUAACUGUUAGUUUGUCACUGUCAUGGGAAAUGGGAAGGAAGAAAAACAGCACUUAUCAAGCAUCUUCUGUGUACAAACUGCCAUUUCAGACUCAGAGCAGUCCUUGAAGGUCAAGAACUGUGGAAUCUUUCAGAUGAUAUUCUGAUACUUCUGGACCAAGAUUGAAUUUGUUCUUCAUGAAAAAUGUCUGGGACCUUUUAUGUGGGAGGAGCCAAGAUGGCCGAAUAGGAAAAGCUCCGGUCUACAGCUCCCAGCGUGAGCAACGCAGAAGACGGGUGAUUUCUGCAUUUCCAUCUGAGGUACCGGGUUCAUCUCACUAGGGAGUGCCAGACGGUGGGUGCAGGUCAGUGGGUGCGCACACCGUGCGCGAGCGGAAGCAGGGCGAGCCAUUGCCUCACUCGGGAAGCGCAAGGGGUCAGGGAGUUCCCUUUCCUAGUCAAAGAAAGGGGUGACAGACGGCACCUGGAAAAUCGGGUCACUCCCACCCGAAUACCGCGCUUUUCCGACGGGCUUAAAAAACGGCGCACAAGAGAUUAUAUCC
rnacentral:lncRNA from 1 species